rnacentral:tRNA from 3 species
UCCCGCGUAGCUCAACGGCAGAGCUCCCGACUGUUAAUCGGGCGGUUUCUGGUUCGAAUCCAGACGCGGGAGCCA